UGUAAUUUUUUCGUGUUCCCAGGACAAUUCUAGACAAUAACGACAUUUGUCUUGGAACUAACUCCUCAACUCUUCUGAAAACUGGCCUGGAAUUGUUUAUUUAAGCGAUAAUAUUGUAUCUUUUGAUAUUGGCCUGCAUCUACGCUUCAGAACUAUUAAUAAACUAUUCUACGCGUGGGGUGAGACGAAGAAUACACCGACUUUUAGUAACUGUAUGAUGUCUUCAGUAUCAUGUUCUUCACAUUUAACAUGGAGUUUACUAUUGUCAGUUGUCUUUGCAGGUACCCCUGAGAUCAAUAACUGCAUUGAUCGCCUUGGCCGUUGUGGUGUCCUGCGUUAUCGCUAUAGAUAUCGACUGCAAAACGAUCAAAAUAAAAUGUAUAGCUAUUGACCCGGUCAAAUGCAAGGAGGACGGUGGGAUCUUCAUUCCUAAUGGUGGUUUAUGUGGCUACUGCGACAGCUGCCGUAAAUACGUGGGUGAAGGAGAAUCUUGUGCGGGCCAAGAUGUCUUACAGCCACCAACGCCAACGCCCACUUGUCAAGAACCUCUUGUUUGCGACCCAGACACGAAAACUUGUGUCAAAAGUAAGGUCAAUUGUGUAAAAAGUAAGACCCAUCCAAAGAUAUAAGAGUACUCAGUGAUUUAAAAAAAUUACGUCAUGUUAAAAAAUGUAUCCCAUCGCCGAUUUACUUUAUGUACCUACUGUAAGUACUUUGGAAAUAAAAUUCAAAUUUUUUGUCA